UUAUCUAUUAUCUAUAUUGGAAAUCAUUACGUGGCUUACUAAAAAAGGUAAUGAUCUUACCAACUGAAUCCUUGAGGCCUUUUUUUAUCAAGGUCAACUAAACGUGGCUUCAUCACUUAAUUUUAAGCUACCUUUCAUUAUCUGCAGUUUCAGUCACAAUUCCCACAGUUGAUUAAUUGGAAAAUUUGAUAUAUCUUUUACGGCAAGGCAUGUGUUUGACCAAAUGUACUAUAUAAAUAUGCUUCGUUUAGAUGUAGCUUGUUAUUGAUUGUAAUAAUAAGUGCUGCCUAUUUUGAGUGUUAACAUAAUUGUUUUUUCAAAUGUCACUUGUAGCUUCGACACUGCAAUCUGGAAGCUUUUUCAUGCUCCUGAUGAUGAAAUGUUGAUUUUGAGGAGUAAAUCACAAGAGAUCGAGCCAUAUUUAAAUGGAGGCUGUAUAUAUCUUGUUGGAAUGAUGGGCUCUGGGAAGACAACUGUGGGGAAGAUAUUGUCACAAGUGCUUUCUUAUUUAUUUUUCGAUAG